UUAGCAGAGGCAAAACAAGCUGUCCUCAAGCAGGGUGUGACACAGGUUUCUUCUUGUCUUGAGGAUGAGUGAAGAAGCCCACAGCCACAUGGGUAUUUUCGCAGCUUCCCGUGGGGGAAAGACUGACCCUGGAUAGGUGGGGAAGAAAGACCUGAUCUGGUCACAGGAGCAGUGUUGGUGAGGAGAGGACGACAGACCUAGUGAUGUUUCUUUCACCCUCCCCACUUCCCACCACCUGGAAAAUGAAGACUGACAACUAUUAAUGACUCCUGGUAACCACAUAUGGAUUAUUCAUGAGAUAAAGCAUGAUUUAAACCA